AUGCAAUAUCAGGUCGGCCUGGACCUGGACGGCUUCCCGCUCGACAACGAGUUUCCCGAGGACUACAACCUCGAGGAAGAGGAUGAGUUGGACAUCGACGGGGAGCCUUUGUUCGAGGACGAGCUCGCCAACCAAGCCACCGGGGCAAGGCCGAAGCGCAAGAGCAGGCGGACGAAAGCAUACACGACGGCCGAGGACAAACUCCUUUGUGAGUGUUGGAGGGACAUUGGGCAAGACCCCAAGGUCGGCGCCGAACAAAAGGCAUCAACCUUUUGGACUCGUGUCCAUCGUGAGUUUCCCAAAUGCAAAGCACGAGCGGGUGGGUGUCCAUUUCGAAGAGAUGGAAGGCGAUCCAACAAGAGUGCAACAUUUUUUGUGCCAAUCUUGAGAGCGUCAAGGCACACCCUGUGA
rnacentral:rRNA from 1 species